CCUACGGGGGGCAGCAGUGGGGAAUAUUGGACAAUGGGGGCAACCCUGAUCCAGCCAUGCCGCGUGUGUGAAGAAGGCCCUCGGGUUGUAAAGCACUUUCAGUGAGGAAGAACGCCUGGUGGUUAAUACCCAUCAGGAAAGACAUCACUCACAGAAGAAGCACCGGCUAACUCCGUGCCAGCAGCCGCGGUAAUACGGAGGGUGCGAGCGUUAAUCGGAAUUACUGGGCGUAAAGCGCGCGUAGGUGGCUUGAUAAGCCGGUUGUGAAAGCCCCGGGCUCAACCUGGGAACGGCAUCCGGAACUGUCAAGCUAGAGUGCAGGAGAGGAAGGUAGAAUUCCCGGUGUAGCGGUGAAAUGCGUAGAGAUCGGGAGGAAUACCAGUGGCGAGGCGGCCUUCUGGACUGACACUGACACUGAGGUGCGAAAGCGUGGGUAGCAAACAGGAUUAGAUACCCUAGUAGUC
rnacentral:rRNA from 1 species